CAUGGGAUGGUAUUUUUUCACAACUAAAUAAGAUAACCAAUUUGUUAUUAAUUUGCUUCUAAUUUUCCAAACUAAUUCGAUCUAAACUGCUAAUCGAUCUUGCAAUGCAAACCAGCACAACCCUACGAGUACAACAAAACAAAGACAUUCUAAUUCAAAUGCUCUAUGACAGAGAUAGGAAAAAAAAAACUUCACUAGUACUGUGAUAUACUGCAAAAUAUUUAUUUCAGUCGACGACCUUGAAAAUUCAUCGCGUACUUACAGAAAAUAACAUCUGCGCUAAUUUUCUCACACGCAGGCGCAAUCAAGCUAAGAUGUUAUCGUGUCGGGUCAUCCACAGCCGGCCGCGAUUAUUCUUCAUUCUCAAACGGAUGAUGCGGAUGUCCGAAAGCUCCAAACUCGGGACAUAUGCGUCCGUUCCGUUCGAGGGCCGCCAGCUGUUUCAUAUCUUCCGCGGCCAGUUCAAAGC